CCCCCUUUAAAGAGUUUAGUUCACUCCAUAUGCUUGAGCACAAAGAGCACAAUUCAGCCAAAGGUUCAACAGCAGUUUAGCUUCCUACAAUGAAUCCCCAAGUUGACCUCCCUGUUUUCAAACCCAGCUAUGCUGCCAGACAAAACUUCUGCUCUCACCAGGCGCGUUCCAAGUGACUCCCCACUCCACCGAAACUUCGCAUCAUGCAUCUUUUAGCAUAAGGAAGCUGGACAGACAUCACCAGCGGUAGGACUUGGAUCCAAAGAUUGCCUUUAAUUAAAACCUUCAUGUGACAAACAAAAGGGAAAACAAAAGAGUAGGCUUUUCCACCGAGCCAAAUGGAAUCUAUUCAAUGUGCUUUAUAACCCAGGCACCCUUUUUAAACACAGCGCCAUGUGUGUGAAGGGGAACUCUUGUCUCUCGCCUGUCUUAGAUUAGCAUGGGACUGGAGCCAUUACAGUGGUCUGCUUUCUGCAAGCUUGAAGCUGAAAUUUACACAAUGCAGAGAACUGGCCCAGCUCCGCAGCCACUUUAGACUUGCAUCUUGCGCUACAUAAAAGCCAAUGUUCCACACGUCGUUCUUUUAAAAGCCACCAUUGUUCUCAUCCAUAACUGAGCAAUUCAGCCUUUGCUUUAAAGGCGGGAACUCAACCAAGCUACUGCUUACAAAUUCCAGAUCUUCUCCGAUUGCACACACAGAAUAACGUUUUGUUACACUGCGCUUUUGUCAUGGGUUUGGUUAUUAUUAUGUGAAGCCAAGUUUCAUUUUUCAUAUAUUUUAAGAAACAAGACAUUGUCAGUUGAAACCUUUAACAAUUUCAAGGCUCUGGGUUAGCAUUAAAU